CUUGACGAGUCACACUUGGAGCUUCAUGGGGAAGGUAGGAGUGCAGGUAAGAUGCUUACCUGGCCUGGCGGAGGAGACUGGGACUACCACAGUCGCGAGUAAAACCAGGCACAAGGAGUCAACAGGAAGGAGGUCCUGCUUAAUGAUGCUCACUCACUGCUCUUUUAGCCCAGAAGGACGGAUGAGAUACGAGGUAACACAGGGUGAGAAUCCAGGACAGCCCCCCCGACCCCCGUCAAGAAUUAGCCCACCAAAGGUCUCGAGUGUGUCCCAGGAGCGUGUCCGCAGUGUGUCCAAUGGGGAUUGUCUUCGUGACUUGAGAGCAAAGUGACAAAGCUUUGUAGCCGCGCUUCUCUGCAGGGGAAAAGCAAGGACACUGUAGUGGAUGUGUUAAAACAAUAUGGAGGAGAUGGGCCUUACCUAGCAGGCUGCCGUCCGGCUUGAUGCAGACGGAGGCGAGGCUGAAGAGGGUGAAGAUGACGAAGGCGGCGACGAUGAAGGUCAGCUCAAAGCCGGAGAAAGGCAGUUCCAUGGACACAAGUGCAAAAGAGGCAGCUGUCAAGAGUACCUACACUCGCACAGCGCGACGCCUCCAGGAAGCAAAUACGACCAGAUCCUAGAGCAAGUUCUACAUGAAAGGUCUUCCCCACCGACCUUAGAGCAAUCCAGCUCCUAAACAAGAUGGAAACAUGUGGCGACUAAGGACCGCUGCUUAGAGGGGAUGGAAGAAAAAAGCCUUUUAAACCACAGGUGUCAAACUCAAGACCCUGGGGCCAGAUUUGGCCCGCCACUUCAUUUUAUUUGGCCCUCGAAAGCCUGGG